rnacentral:lncRNA from 1 species
CCGCCCUCCUCCCCUUCCAUCACCCCUAGUUCGUUUCCCAGAGUUAGGAGUCUCUCAUGUUCUGGCUCCCUUUCCGAUAUUUCCCACUCAUUUUUCUCCUUUCCUUGGGGCAGUAGUAAUACAUCAGCGUCUUGUCCCAUGGCAACUCCCGGUGCACAGCACUCCCAGACCCCCCAGGGGGCGUAUUUCCAGGAACUCCCAGAGGGCACAUUCUAGAAAGUUCCACCUGAGAGGCGUUACUGCCGUUGUGUGAGGUGCUCGACGGGCUCCUGGAACAAGGUGAGGGUUUUCCCACUGGGAGUGUGGAUUCUUUUUCCCUGGGGGCUCUCUGUGCCCUGGAUGUGCCUUUUCCUUGGCUGUGGUAUGUUCCGGGGGGAUCUACUUCAGCCUGUGGAGACUUUUGCUUGGUUGUGAUCUGAACUCAGGGGGAGGCAUGUCCUGGGCAGGUUAUCUCCGCCAUGUUGGAGAGGAGGCUGUUGCUUGGUUUUGUCUCUGGGUUCCGUGAGGGACUUUCUUCGUGGAACCCUCUCAGGACCCGUGUGGGGACGCGACUUUGGGUGAUUAUCUUAGUCCUAUGCCCGAGGAAAGAUGUCCGAUAAAGCAGAGGAGUUUGCUGUUGGGCCUGAAAAUCAAAUGAAACGUCGUGGAGAACCCAUUAGUCCUCCUCCAUCUAAGAGAAUGAUGAGCAUGGCGCUGCUGUCAAUGAAACAGGAAGGAGAGGGAGUAUCCUACCCUGGGGGCUCAGCCAUGUCAUUGGAAGAUGACCCCAAGGUCACAGGAAUGUCUGUGUCAGGAGAAAUGCCAGAUAAAUUGCAGAUACCAGUGGAAAUCAGUGCUGAAAUGAAACACCAAUUAAAGAAGGAAAUUCAACGUUUUGGACAAAAAUAUGAAAGAGUCUUCAAAUUGCUUGAAGGAGUGCAAGGACCUCUGGAAUUGCGGGAAAAAAUUUGUUGUAUUUUCCGUCAAGGGAACAGCAAGAUUUAAAAGGCAAGACUUAAUAAGGCACCUGGAGAAGGUACUAGAAAAAUUAGAAUCUGACUACUUCCUCAACAAAGACAAAUUAUACCCCAAACUUAUAAUUCUGUUAUCAAAAUUAUCAGUGAGUAACCAGAACCAGUUUGCUGUCCUAGAAUGGAACCGGAUAUUGUUGAUGCUUUCUAGCACAUGUUAGUUAAUAAAAUUAUCUUCUUGAGAUUAAGAAAAGGCA